CGCGCACGUCCUUAAAAGAAAGAGAAUUGCAACAAAUUGCAAUCAGUUGCAAAUCUUGAGGUUGAAAAGCGGAUGCAAUUUCCGGCGUGUGCA
rnacentral:sRNA from 12 species